ACACGUAGGGGGCGAGCGUUGUUCGGAAUCAUUGGGCGUAAAGGGCGCGCAGGCGGCGAGGCAAGUCCGGUGUGAAAGUGCUCGGCUCAACCGAGUGAUGCGCUGGAAACUGCCCUGCUUGAGUACAGGAGGGGACGUCGGAAUUCCAGGUGUAGGGGUGAAAUCUGUAGAUAUCUGGAAGAACACCGGUGGCGAAGGCGGACGGCUGGCCAUGUACUGACGCUGAGGCGCGAAGGUGCGGGGAGCGAACAGGUUUAGAUACCCUGGUAGUCCGCACAGUAAACGAUGUGCACCAGGUGGCGGGGGGUAGCCCUCGGUACCGAAGCCAACGCAUUAAGUGCACCGCCUGGGGAGUAUGCUCGCAAGGGUGAAACUCAAAUGAAUUGACGGGG
rnacentral:rRNA from 1 species